rnacentral:rRNA from 1 species
AGAAUCAACGCUGGCGGCGCGCCUUACACAUGCAAGUCGAACGAGAAAGUCCGCAAGGAUGAGUAAAGUGGCGUACGGGUGGGUAACACGUGGAUAAUCUACCUCUUUGUGGGGAAUACCGCUGGGAAACCGGUGACAAUACCGCAUAAGCUCGAGAGAGGAAAGCCGAAAGGCGCUGAGAGAGGAGUCCGCGGCCGAUUAGCUAGUUGGUAGGGUAAUGGCCUACCAAGGCGACGAUCGGUAGCCGGCCUGAGAGGGCACACGGCCACACUGGCACUGAAACACGGGCCAGACUCCUACGGGAGGCAGCAGUGGGGAAUCUUGCACAAUGGGGGAAACCCUGAUGCAGCGACGCCGCGUGAGCGAUGAAGCCCCCUGGGGUGUAAAGCUCUUUCGGCAGGGAAGAUUAUGACGGUACCUGCAGAAGCAGCUGCGGCUAACUACGCGCCAGCAGCCGC